ACCACGGUGUUAUUCAACACCACUGACUCUUACUAACACAAAAGCU
rfam:Perkinsus marinus ATCC 50983 gcontig_1104296312690, whole genome shotgun sequence.